rnacentral:rRNA from 1 species
AUUGAACGCUGGCGGCAUGCUUUACACAUGCAAGUCGAACGGUAACAGGGAAAAGCUUGCUUUUCUGCUGACGAGUGGCGAACGGGUGAGUAAUACAUCGGAACGUACCUUGUAGUGGGGGAUAACUAAUCGAAAGAGUAGCUUAUACCGCAUACAACGUGAGGGUAAAAGUGGGGGAUCGCCAGGCCUCAAGCUAUAAGAGCGGCGGGUGGAAGAUUAGCUAGUUGGUAGGGUAAAGGCCUACCAAGGCGACGAUCUUUAGCGGGUCUGAGAGGACGAUCCGCCACACUGGGACUGAGACACGGCCCAGACUCCUACGGGAGGCAGCAGUGGGGAAUUUUGGACAAUGGGCGCAAGCCUGAUCCAGCAAUGCCGCGUGAGUGAAGAAGGCCUUCGGGUUGUAAAGCUCUUUUGUUUGGGAAGAAAUCCCUAAGUAUAAUACCCUUUGUGGCUGACGGUACCAAAAGAAUAAGCACCGGCUAACUACGUGCCAGCAGCCGCCGUAA